GGAAGGGAGCCAGAGGCCCCAGGCGGCCCCAGAGGAAGCUAGCUUUCCCAGGUGAGUGCCUGGUGCACCCCUGCCCCAUCCCUGGGGGCCUAUCCACAGCUCACUGCUGACUCUUCCUUCACCCAGGGACCAAGAAGCCACGCAUUUCCCCAAGGUCUCCACCAAGAGCCUCUCCAAGAAAUGGUAAGUCCCACAGGCAUGGGGACAGUGGGGCAGCCCUGCAGCCUGGGCCCCAGGGAGGGAGUGGGGAAGGGAGGGUGGCAGCGCAGAAGCAGAGCUCGCUGAGGCCUCUCUGUGCCCCCGUGAGGGCCAUGCAGGCCGCACUCCCCACGCACUCCACUCCCGGGGAUGCUCACGGUGACAGUCCCUCUACCCGCCCCCAGCCUGCUUCUGAGCCCACCUGUGGCGGAGCGUGCCAUCCUGCCCGCACUGAAGCAGACCCCGAAGAACAACUUUGCCGAGAGGCAGAAGAGGCUGCAGGCAAUGCAGAAACGGCGCCUGCAUCGCUCAGUGCUUUGAGCUACCCGCAUCUGGUCAGUGCCAGGCCCACCAACCUGCAGCUGGAGACUGGCUCUCUAUAGCAUUUCCUGAUACUUCCACUACUUUUAGGCCUGGCUAAAUUCCAAGAUAGAUAACACUCAAGAUAG
rnacentral:sRNA from 1 species